GCCUACGGGAGGCAGCAGUAGGGAACCUUCCACAAUGGGCGAAAGCCUGAUGGAGCAACGCCGCGUGGGUGAAGAAGGUCUUCGGAUCGUAAAACCCUGUUGUUAGAGAAGAAAGUGCGUGAGAGUAACUGUUCACGUUUCGACGGUAUCUAACCAGAAAGCCACGGCUAACUACGUGCCAGCAGCCGCGGUAAUACGUAGGUGGCAAGCGUUAUCCGGAUUUAUUGGGCGUAAAGGGAACGCAGGCGGUCUUUUAAGUCUGAUGUAAAAGCCUUCGGCUUAACCGGAGUAGUGCAUUGGAAACU
rnacentral:rRNA from 1 species